AAAAAUAGGGUCGGUUCGGCCGGAUUUCACACAGGUGUUGCAUGGCUGUCGUCAGCUCGUGUCGUGAGAUGUUGGGUUAAGUCCCGCAACGAGCGUAACCCUCAUCCUUAGUUGCAUCAGGUAAUGCUGAGCACUUUAAGGAAACUGCUAGUGAUAAACUGGAGGAAGGUGGGGAUGAUGUCAAGUCAUCAUGGCCCUUAUGGAGUGGGCUACACACGUGCUACAAUGGUGGCUACAAUGGGCUGCAAAGUCGCGAGGCCAAGCUAAUCCCUUAAAAGCCAUCUCAGUUCGGAUUGUACUCUGCAACUCGAGUGCAUGAAGUUGGAAUCGCUAGUAAUCGUGGAUCAGCAUGCCACGGUGAAUACGUUCUCGGGUCUUGUACACACUGCCCGUCACGCCAUGGGAAUUGGUUUCACUCGAAGCUAAUGACCUAACCGCAAGGAGGGAGUUAUUUAAAGUGGGAUCAGUGACUGGGGUGAAGUCGUAACAAGGUAAGCGUAGUGCU
rnacentral:rRNA from 1 species